ensembl:piRNA 21ur-2741 ncRNA
UAUGUUCAACAAACUAACAUC